AAAUCCGUGAAUUUUAAAUCGUGAGGGUUCAAGUCCCUCUAUCCCCA
rnacentral:tRNA from 1 species